AAUAGAUACCCGGGUAGUCCACGCCGUAAACGAUGAGUGCUAAGUGUUAGGGGGUUUCCGCCCUUAGUGCUGCAGCUAACGCAUUAAGCACUCCGCCUGGGGAGUACGGUCGCAAGACUGAAACUCAAAGGAAUUGACGGGGGCCCGCACAAGCGGUGGAGCAUGUGGUUUAAUUCGAAGCAACGCGAAGAACCUUACCAGGUCUUGACAUCCCAUUGACCACUAUGGAGACAUAGUUUUCCCUUCGGGGACAACGGUGACAGGUGGUGCAUGGUUGUCGUCAGCUCGUGUCGUGAGAUGUUGGGUUAAGUCCCGCAACGAGCGCAACCCUUGUUCUUAGUUGCCAUCAUUUAGCUGGGCACUCUAAGGAGACUGCCGGUGACAAACCGGAGGAAGGUGGGGAUGACGUCAAAUCAUCAUGCCCCUUAUGACCUGGGCUACACACGUGCUACAAUGGACGGUACAAACGGUUGCCAACCCGUGAGGGGGAGCUAAUCCGAUAAAACCGUUCUCAGUUCGGAUUGUAGGCUGCAACUCGCCUACAUGAAC
rnacentral:rRNA from 1 species